AGUGUAGAGGGUGGUGAAGAUGCUGUACCCCCUCAAGUAUCUCACCCUUCUCUGCCUGU
rnacentral:pre_miRNA from 1 species